AAAAGAGGCCCAGCUCUUGGCCAUGAACGAACAAUGCAAGGUUGAUGUGGCAGGAAGUGAAUGCAAUGCAGGCAAAUAUGGGGCUUGAAUUUCAGAGAAACAAGGAGAGGUUUGUUUUUCUGAAGUGGGGUUCCAAUGUUUUUCACAAUAUGCUCAUUGUUCCUCCUGGUUCUGGUAUUGUCCACCAGGUUUGGCAUUUAGCAAGUGACUCUGGUAAUUUUCAAGUUAAUCUUGAAUACCUUGGAUGGGUUAUUUUCUACACAAAUGGCAUUCUAUACCCUGAUAGCGU